CGUUGAUUACGUCCCUGCCCUUUGUACACACCGCCCGUCGCUACUACCGAUUGAAUGGCUCAGUGAGGCUUUCGGACUGGCCUAGGGAGAGUGGCAACACUCACCCAGGGCCGGAA
rnacentral:rRNA from 1 species